AGUGCGGGUAGGAGGACGCCGGUGGCCACAAUGAGGCGAAGUAGUGAGCGGGUCGGGAUGUGCUGGGCGGCGCGGCAACAGGGUGACGCGCUGCUCGGCCGUGAGUGCAGAAGCCCCUAAAGGCAGCAGGAGGCAGCGGCGGACCAACUCCAGGCAGUGAGUCAGUAAGUCACUGCUGUCACGUCCUCUAUUACCCACCUUGGUCACGCCGAGGGUGUCGCGGCGCACACCACACGUCCUGAGACUGCUGGAAAAUGAUAAGGUCCCCUUCAGGUUUCCUCGUGCACCAGAACACCAUCGUAAAGCUUGAGGGGAGGAUGGAUGGAGUCCGCGGCCCGGCACCCCUGCCAUCCGUGCCGCCCCUCCUGUUGCCGCCGCUGCCACCGCCAUCACCUCUGCCGCCACGCGAGAGUGAGUACGAGUAUCAUAAUAA